rnacentral:rRNA from 1 species
AGUGAACGCUGGCGGUAGGCCUAACACAUGCAAGUCGAACGGCAGCACAGUAAGAGCUUGCUCUUACGGGUGGCGAGUGGCGGACGGGUGAGGAAUACAUCGGAAUCUACUUUUUCGUGGGGGAUAACGUAGGGAAACUUACGCUAAUACCGCAUACGACCUACGGUUGAAAGCAGGGGAUCUUCGGACCUUGCGCGAUUGAAUGAGCCGAUGUCGGAUUAGCUAGUUGGCGGGGUAAAGGCCCACCCAGGCGACGAUCCGUAGCUGGUGUGAGAGGAUGAUCGGCCACACUGGAACUGAGACACGGUCCAGACUCCUACGGGAGGCAGCAGUGGGGAAUAUUGGACAAUGGGCGCAAGCCUGAUCCAGCCAUACCGCGUGGGUGAAGAAGGCCUUCGGGUUGUAAAGCCCUUUUGUUGGGAAAGAAAAGCAGCAGGUUAAUACCCCGCUGUUCUGACGGUAACCAAAGAAUAAGCACCGGCUAACUUCGUG